GUUUUAUGACCAUAAGCCCCUUGUUAAAACAAAGCUUAUCAACGGUCCAAGUUACAGGAAAUGGCAUCUCUCCCUCCCCAUCAUGGCAACUCUGCACCGGCUGGCAGGACAGCUUCUAUCAGACCUAAUUGAUCGCAAUUAUUUCUACUUGUUUGACAUGGAGUCUUUCUUUACAGCUAAAGCGUUAAACAUGUGCAUACCUGGUGGU
rnacentral:misc_RNA from 1 species